GUACCAUAACCGACACAGGUGGGUAGGUAGAGUAUACUAAGGGGCGCGAGAUAACUCUCUCUAAGGAACUCGGCAAAAUGACUCCGUAACUUCGGGAGAAGGAGUGCCUUAUUUAUAAGGUUGCAAUAACAAGAUCCAAGCAACUGUUUAUCAAAAACACAGGUCUCCGCUAAGUCGUAAGACGAUGUAUGGGGGCUGACGCCUGCCCAGUGCCAGAAGGUUAAAGAAGUUGGUUAGUGUAUGCGAAGCUGAUGACUGAAGCCCUGGUGAACGGCGGCCGUAACGAUAACGGUCCUAAGGUAGCGAAAUUCCUUGUCGGGUAAGUUCCGACCCGCACGAAAGGCGUAAUGAUUUGGAUACUGUCUCGGAGAGAGGCUCGGUGAAAUAGACUUGUCUGUGAAGAUGCGGACUACCUGCACCAGGACAGAAAGACCCUAUGAAGCUUUACUGUAACUUGAAAUUGGAAUUGGACUUUGCUUGCGCAGUAUAGGUGGGAAGCGUUGAAGAUAUUCUUGCGGGAGUAUUGGAGCUAUCAGUGAGAUACCACUCUUGUAAUGUUAGAUUUCUAACUUUGAACCAUAAUCUGGUCAAAGAACAGUUUCAGGUGGGCAGUUUGACUGGGGCGGUCGCCUCCCAAAUGGUAACGGAGGCGUACAAAGGUUUCCUCUGAACGGAUAGAAAUCGUAUCUAGAGUGUAAAGGCAUAAGGAAGCUUGACUGUGAGACCUACAAGUCGAGCAGGGACGAAAGUCGGUCUUAGUGAUCUGACGGUACUGAGUGGAAAGGCCGUCACUCAACGGAUAAAAGUUACUCUAAGGAUAACAGGCUGAUCUCCCCCAAGAGUUCACAUCGACGGGGAGGUUUGGCACCUCGAUGUCGGCUCAUCGCAUCCUGGGGCGGUAGUACGUCCCAAGGGUUGGGCUGUUCGCCCAUGAAAGCGGUACGCGAGCUGGGUUCAGAACGUCGUGAGACAGUUCGGUCCAUAUCCGGUGUAGGCGUUAGAAUAUUGAGAGGAGCCUUCUUUAGUACGAGAGGACCGAGAAGGACACACCGCUGGUGUACCAGUUAUCGUGCCAACGGUAAACGCUGGGUAGCUAUGUGUGGAGUGGAUAACCGCUGAAAGCAUCUAAGUGGGAAGCCCACCUCAAGAUGAGUGCUCUCACAGGGUUAACCUGGUAAGGUCACGGGAAGACCACCCGUUAAUAGGCACUAGGUGGAAGUCCAGUAAUGGAUGGAGCCAAGGUGUACUAACAGACCGAGGGCUUGAC
rnacentral:rRNA from 1 species